rnacentral:rRNA from 1 species
GAUGAACGCUGGCGGCGUGCCUAAUACAUGCAAGUCGAGCGAAUGGAUUAAGAGCUUGCUCUUAUGAAGUUAGCGGCGGACGGGUGAGUAACACGUGGGUAACCUGCCCAUAAGACUGGGAUAACUCCGGGAAACCGGGGCUAAUACCGGAUAACAUUUUGAACCGCAUGGUUCGACAUUGAAAGGCGGCUUCGGCUGUCACUUCUGGAUGGACCCGCGUCGCAUUAGCUAGUUGGUGAGGUAACGGCUCACCAAGGCAACGAAGCGUAGCCGACCUGAGAGGGUGAUCGGCCACACUGGGACUGAGACACGGCCCAGACUCCUACGGGAGGCAGCAGUAGGGAAUCUUCCGCAAUGGACGAAAGUCUGACGGAGCAACGCCGCGUGAGUGAUGAAGGCUUUCGGGACGUAAAACUCUGUUGUUAGGGAAGAACAAGUGCUAGUUGAAUAAGCUGGCACCUUGACGGUACCUAACCAGAAAGCCACGGCUAACUACGUGCCAGCCGCCGCGGUAA